GGUCUAUAUUGGUUGUCCUAGGGAUAGCUGAACCCCAGAGCACGACUCAAUCGCAACCUAGUCAACCCCAGAGCACGACUCAUUCUCAACCUAGUCAAUCCCAGAGCACGACUCAAUCGCAACCUAGUCAGGAGCAAACUGCCGAAACCAGCAACUCGGAGAAGGAUGUGCCAGUGGAGAAACCUAGCGAGCCUUCUUCAGAUGCCAGCUGACCGUUUCCGAAAAGUGAAAAAUCUGGCAAUUAGCGCACGAGUUUGACUCGAGCUCUAUUUCCAGUUGGCUGGUCCAGACCAUGCUUUACAAUUUCUAGGCAGCGAGUUUGACCUCGUGAAUCUGGCUCAAAUACAAUACAUGAAUGAAAACUGGCCCGGUUUAAUCACUGUUUGCUGAAAUGUCAAUUUGAGUCUUUGCAUAUAAAGAAGGCAGGAAAUCGGCAACUUCAAAUUACCUUUCACGAUUGGAGUCAAACGAUUAGUUUCAUAAGAAUUUUGAACAGUUGGCCUCGAAUGGUUAGUUUCGGAAUAACUUUGAGCAAUUAGCUUCAGAAGAGGCUUGGACAAUCGACCUUAAACGGUUAGCUUCAAAAGUAGCUCUAGCGAGUGGUCUCAAGCCGUGAGUUUUGCCAAUGCAUUCAAAGCAUUUUCAGCGUAAUGUUUAUUUUAUAUUUGGUGAGAGUUUUGGUCUACUUUGAUGAAGAAAAA
rnacentral:lncRNA from 1 species